rnacentral:rRNA from 1 species
GAUGAACGCUGGCGGCGUGCCUAAUACAUGCAAGUCGAGCGAACAGACGAGGAGCUUGCUCCUCUGACGUUAGCGGCGGACGGGUGAGUAACACGUGGAUAACCUACCUAUAAGACUGGGAUAACUUCGGGAAACCGGAGCUAAUACCGGAUAAUAUAUUGAACCGCAUGGUUCAAUAGUGAAAGACGGUUUUGCUGUCACUUAUAGAUGGAUCCGCGCCGCAUUAGCUAGUUGGUAAGGUAACGGCUUACCAAGGCAACGAUGCGUAGCCGACCUGAGAGGGUGAUCGGCCACACGGAAACUGAGACCCGGUCAGACUCCUACGGGAGGCAGCAGUAGGGAAUCUUCCGCAAUGGGCGAAAGCUUGACGGAGCAACGCCGCGUGAGUGAUGAAGGUCUUCGGAUCGUAAAACUCUGUUAUUAGGGAAGAACAAAUGUGUAAGUAACUAUGCACGUCUUGACGGUACCUAAUCAGAAAGCCACGGCUAACUACGUG